CUUCCGGGUUGAAAGAAAGGCGGCGGCGGUUUCGGGAGGAAUAAAAUGGAAGAAGAAUCGAGCAGAUUUGAAAUCCACACUCCAAUUUUUGACAAGAAAAAGAAGAAGAAAAAGAAAAAGCAUUCUGUACAUAAGGAAAGACAUCAGAAACGUUCCCAUGAAAGUUUCAGAGACUUCUCCCUGGUAAGUGAACAGCCUCACAUAACUAAGGGUAAAAAGAAGAGAAAGGAUUUCCAACAUCUCACUUCUUCUCCUUUGAAAAAAUCAGAAAUUUGUGAUGAGACUGAAAAGGCCACUUGUACACACAGAAAGAAGAAAAAGAGAAGACAUAGUGCUUUAGGGGAAGACAAGGAGACAGGCGUUGCGUAUGUCUCUGUGGAUAAUGAAAAUAUUGAGCACACGCUAAAGGAUUCUAAAGUUCAUGUCGAUGCGAGCAUAGAGCAAGAGACAACAAAAGAGCCUGAAGCGGACAAACUGCACGUCGUUGCUAAGUCACGUGAGAAUGAAUCAGAGGAACUGCACCGUAAAGUUAGGAAGAAAAAGAAUAAACACCGCGGGAGCACAGGUGCGUGCUGUGGCGCCCUGCGGGAGAGCCCGCACACGCCCCCGCGGCGGCGGGAACCGCUCGGGCCGGCGUCCUGGCCUCCUGCGGGCCUAGAAGGCAACACUCCAGAACCAGCAGGGUCCGCUAGGAAAAACAAGUCGAAAAAGAAAAAGAAGCCCAGUACGCCGGCACUCGAGGCACUGGGCGAGCCCGCGCGCUGGGAAGGACCCCAGGCGGGGGGCGCGGAGGGCGGCGAGGCGGGCGCGGGGCCCGGGACACCCGACGCCGCCCGGAGACGGGCGGGGAAACGGAAGCGCGAUUCCGCCCGGAGCGGCGUGGCGGCCGCUGACCAGGCUCAGCCUUCUGCGCUCAGUCAGAACUCUGACAAUGACGACACGCUCUUUGAUUCCCUGGACAGUGGUGGCCCCUUGCUCGGAGGAGGAGGGAAACCCCGCGCCGGUUCCGGAGAGGAGCCUGGGGACGGGGCGUCCGGGUUAGAGCCUACAAGUGAAGAAGAAAGCAAUUUAGAAUCAGCUAAAGAUUCUGAAACAAAGUAUUUCUGUGACGAUUUGAGAAAUUCAGGUGAUUCAGAUGUGGAUUUGGAUUCUGCCGUGAAGCAGCUCCAAGAAUUCAUUCCUAACAUACAGGAAAGGGCUGCCACUACGAUUAAACGGAUGUAUCGGGAUGACUUGGGGCGAUUUAAAGAAUUUAAAGCACAAGGUGUCACUAUUAAAUUUGGCAGGUUUUCUGUCAAGGAAAAUAAGCAGUUAGAGAAAAACGUGCAAGAAUUCCUGUCACUGACGGGGAUUGAGACUGCAGACAAGCUGCUGCACACGGACAGAUAUCCAGAGGAAAGAUCUACCAUCACCGACUUAAAAAGGAAAUACUCGUUUAGAUUGCACAUUGGUAAAGGCAUUGCCCGACCCUGGAAGCUAAUAUACUAUCGAGCAAAGAAGAUGUUCGAUGUCAAUAAUUACAAAGGCAGGUAUAGCGAAGAAGAUACUGAGAAGUUAAAGAGAUACCAUUCCCUCCACGGGAAUGACUGGAAAAAGAUUGGUGAGAUGGUGGCGCGAAGUAGCCUCUCUGUGGCCCUGAAGUUCUCUCAGAUCCGUGCUCAAAGAAAUCGUGGUGUUUGGAGAAAGACGGAAACCCAGAAACUAAUCAAGGCUGUUGAAGAAGUGAUUCUAAAGAAAAUGUCUCUCGAGGAGUUAAAUGAGAUGGAUUCCAGACUCCAAGAAGCUCCUGAAGGUCGCCUGUCAAUUGUUCGGGAAAAACUUUACAGGGGCAUAUCUUGGAUAGAAGUAGAAGCUAAAGUGGAAACCAGAAACUGGAUGCAGUGUAAAAGUAAGUGGAUGGAAAUUCUAACCAAGAGGAUGACUAAUGGUGGGAACAUAUACCAUGGAGUUAAUGCCCUGCAGGCCAAAAUCAACCUUAUUGAAAGAUUGUAUAAAGUAAAUAUAGAAGAUGCUAAUGAAAUAGACUGGGAAGAUCUUGCUAAUGCUAUAGGGUGAUAGAUUGUCUGUUCCAGAAUUAAGGAAACCUGAAGGGAAACAGUGAAAAGCAUCCCUCACCACCCGCCCCCACCAGCUCCCUAGCCCCACGGGAAACCACUGCCAUGUAUCCUUCCAGAGAUAUUUUAUGCCGAACUUCUGCCGGAUCCGAAUGAUGUUCUGGUUUUCUUGGCUAACGUUGGUUCUUUAAACCUUCUUUUGAACAAGAGUGACCAGAGAUUGUCCUUUCAGAGCCCCGGUGGCGAUGGCACUGCCCUUCUUGUGUGAUCGUUCUUGUGUCUGCUGUGCUCUUUGUUGUGUUCUCCAGCUCACCUCAAGUUAAUUCUGCUGUUCUUCAACUUCUCGAGAUGGGCUCUCAGCUCCUUUUCAGUUUUUCUUCCUUUCUAAUAUAUACUUAAGGCCACAUGUUUUCUUCUAAGGACUGCUUUAUCAGCAGUACCCAUUUUUUUUUGGAAAGUUUUAAACACAGAGUAAAUGAACCCCAUGCACUCAUCACCCUACUCCAGCAAGCAUCAGCAUCCGCCAGCCUAACCAAACCAAACUUCUGCAUCCACCCCCUCCAAUGAUUGUUAUUUUUUUUGUAAAUUUUACAUAUUUUACAGCCUUGGUACAUUUCAAAAUUUAAAUGUUCCUUUUUGGUAAAUCCAUUUGGAAUUGAGUGAUUCCAUUUCUAGAAAUACCUUUUACAGAAUAAAUUCACACAUACAUAAAAUGACUUGUGUCCAGAAUAAUUUAAUGCAGUAGUGUGUUUACUAGAACAGCCUAAAUGCCCAUUGACAGAGGCCUGGCUAUGCAUAUGGUCUCCCUGAAUGAUGAAAUACUUUAUAGCUGCAAAUAAGAAUGAGAAAGCCCUUAAGUGACGGUACACAGAGAACUCCAAAAUACGUUCUUAGGUGGGAAAACGCUGUGCAGAACAGUGGGUGGUGUACCUGUGUCACAUAAACAGAAGGAUUUGAUGUGUGUGUGUGCAUCUGGGACCUCCACGCCGUGUACUGUGGACCAAGUAAAUCAGACCAGCCCUCCCUCCACCUCACCCCCCACCAAAGACACCUAAGAAAGUGAUGUUCCUCCGUCUUAUGUGCAAACUAAAUUUUACAAGCUGAAAGCUACCUGUGUUCCCUUUUGGCAGGAAAAGACUUUUCCAG